rnacentral:rRNA from 1 species
GACGUAGGGCGCGAGCGUUGUCCGGAUUUAUUGGGCGUAAAGAGCUCGUAGGCGGCUUGUCGCGUCGACUGUGAAAUCCCGCGGCUCAACUGCGGGUCUGCAGUCGAGUACGGGCAGGCGUAGGAGUUCGGUAGGGGAGACUGGAAUUCCUGGAUGUAGCGGUGAAAUGCGCAGACGUAGUCAGGAGGAACACCGGUGGCGAAGGCGGGUCUCUGGGCCGAUACUGACGCUGGAGGAGCGGAAAGCGUGGGGAGCGAACAGG